rnacentral:lncRNA from 1 species
GGGAAAACAACCAGAAUGGACAUUGUCCAGGCUUUCAGAGUGGCACAGCAAGAAAAGUGCACUAUUGUAACAGCAUCAGAAGCAGAAAUCACAGAUGGCACAACAAGAAAAUAACCCAACUUUUAUUUUCUCUCCUUUUUCCCCUAGCAGCACCUCCAGUUUUUGGAGAGCUAGACAUUGUGAAAGGUGCAGCACUGGCAGAUGCACUGCCAUUCUGGUGCAGAAGACAGAGACCCUGGGAGGGCUCUGCRGCCCUUCACUCCUCUCUCAGCGAGUCGUGUGCCUUAUCACAAGUGAGUGAAGUUUCAUUGGAUGAAUUUCAACCAACAACUGGAAUACUUCCAAAUUUUUCUGGGAAAAACAAAAGGCAUUUAAGAAGGUUGAGAUGUAAUCAAGUUUGGAAGAACUCUCUUUUGAAUAACUAG